UACGGAGGGUGCAAGCGUUGUCCGGAAUCACUGGGCGUAAAGGGCGCGUAGGCGGCGCGAUAAGUCGGAUGUGAAAUCCCGGGGCUCAACUCCGGGGCUGCAUCCGAGACUGUCGAGCUCGAGCGUGGUAGAGGCGAGUGGAAUUCCCGGUGUAGCGGUGGAAUGCGUAGAGAUCGGGAAGAACACCAGUGGCGAAGGCGGCUCGCUGGGCCAUUGCUGACGCUGAUGCGCGAAAGCGUGGGGAGCAAAC
rnacentral:rRNA from 1 species